rnacentral:lncRNA from 13 species
GUAGGCCUUAGGCUUACUGUGAGUGGAGCCUGGUGAGCGCGAAAUGAAAUAUUCACUCUGCCAGUGCUGUUUGUUGCUGGCAUUCAGAGGGUGUUAUUUUUUAUAAGUUUUGGAUUUACUUUUGUUUGUUUCAUUCUCUCUGUAACCAAGAGGAGAAAGAGGAGGAGAAAUUAGGGCAAGACGCAAGCCGGGAGAGUGUUGGUAGGUUUAAUUUAGUGUUUUUAGUGCUGACUACAGCUCGAGCCUGCUUGUGACAGGAGAGGGGGAGGCCCCAACUACAAAUUACUGCCAAGUCUCUGUCAGAUACAAGGGUAUUUACUGUCUUUUUGGCUCGGUGCCGGAGGCAUUCCUUGUGAUGUUAUUUCAGACAAUGGACCUGAGUGUGAAUGGAGUUUGAAUCAAAUAAUCAUAAUAUUAUCUUUGCCCAUCCCAUGAAAAUAUCCUACAUCUACAUUAUAUGGUGCCCCAUGUGAAGACUUACUUGCAACUUUGAAAUACUAUGACAAUCCAGGAAUCAAUCAAUCAAUCAAUCAAUCAACCACUCAAUCAAUGAUGAAUUGAUUUAUUGGAUAUCCAAGAAGUAUCUGUAAAUGUGUGUACAUUAUUUAUUUCAGUGUAUAACUGUCUUGGGGUUUUUCCUUUGUGUCUUUGUGUGUGUCAGGUGGAGGCGGAGGUUGGCAUGACAUUAACCCUGGGUCUCAGGGCGGGAGACCCCUCAUACUCGGAGGCCAGGGGGGGCAGCCCUGCAUUAAGUUCAGCUGGGAGACCCGAGGGGGUUUCGGGGGAGGAGGAGGUGCCUGUACAACCGGUGGUGGAGGAGGGGGCUAUAGAGGUGGCAGCACCUCUGAAGCUAAUGACCCAAAGCAGGAUGGAGAUGACGGCUCCUCUUUCAUCAGCCCAGAGGGAGAGACCUUCCUGGACCCUCUGAAAGGUAACAGAUGAUGAAAUGAGAGACAAUCACACUAACACUUUCUAUGAACUAUAGGGCGGCAACCGGCAAGGUAAAGGUUAGUGAGGUGGACCACAGUAGCCGGAAGUUGCUGGUUCAAGCCCCGGGCAGGGCGAUAAAAGUGGGAACUGAACCAUGACGGAGCAUGUAUCCUGUUGACCAUGUC